UACGUAGGGUGCGAGCGUUAAUCGGAAUUACUGGGCGUAAAGCGUGCGCAGGCGGUUUUGUAAGCCAGAUGUGAAAGCCCCGGGCUUAACCUGGGAAUGGCAUUUGGGACUGCAAGGCUUGAGUGCGGCAGAGGAGACUGGAAUUCCUGGUGUAGCGGUGAAAUGCGCAGAUAUCAGGAGGAACACCGGUGGCGAAGGCGGGUCUCUGGGCCGGUACCGACGCUGAGGAGCGAAAGCGUGGGGAGCGAACAGG
rnacentral:rRNA from 1 species